rnacentral:rRNA from 1 species
ACAACGGAGAGUUUGAUCCUGGCUCAGGAUUAACGCUAGCGGCAGGCCUAAUACAUGCAAGUCGAACGGUAACAGGUGAUAGCAAUAUCAUGCUGACGAGUGGCGCACGGGUGCGUAACACGUAUGCAACUUACCCUUUACUGGGGCAUAACCUUGAGAAAUCGGGGCUAAUACUCCAUGUGAUUAUGAAUAGGCAUCUACUUAUAAUUAAAGUUACGAUGGUAAAGGAUGGGCAUGCGUCCCAUUAGCUAGUUGGAGAGGUAACGGCUCCCCAAGGCGAUGAUGGGUAGGGGUCCUGAGAGGGACAUCCCCCACA